rnacentral:rRNA from 1 species
AUUGAACGCUGGCGGCAGGCCUAACACAUGCAAGUCGAGCGGAUGAAGAGAGCUUGCUCUCUGAUUUAGCGGCGGACGGGUGAGUAAUGCCUAGGAAUCUGCCUGGUAGUGGGGGAUAACGUUCCGAAAGGAACGCUAAUACCGCAUACGUCCUUCGAGAGAACGAAGGGGACCUUCGGGCCUUGCGCCUUCAGUUGAGCCUAGGUCGGAUUAGCUAGGUGGGAGGGUACUGGCUCACCAAGGCUACGAUCCGUAACUGGUCUGAGAGGAUGAUCAGUCACACUGGAACUGAGACACGGUCCAGACUCCUACGGGAGGCAGCAGUGGGGAAUAUUGGACAAUGGGCGAAAGCCUGAUCCAGCCAUGCCGCGUGUGUGAAGAAGGUCUUCGGAUUGUAAUGCACUUUAAGUUGGGAGGAAGGGCAGUAAGUUAAUACCUUGCUGUUUUGACGUUACCGACAGAAUAAGCACCGGCUAACUUCGUGCCAGCCGCCGCAGUAAUAC